ACAUAGUCUGCGAAUAUCCAACAAAAGUACUACAAGGAAGACAAGGAAGAAGAUGGCGGAACUGCGAUCGCCAGACAACUACCUCGCAAUCUCCAAGAAAAAGUCUCCAAUUGAUAUGAUCAGCAACCGCUACCGUGACCCGAAAUACCCGGAUCUGCACAUAAGGUGCAGUGGGUAACGUGAGUACACCAACUCAGUAAGUAACAAGUCCAAACUAUGGACUGACAGGUAGUGACGAACCAAAUCUCAAUAGGUAUGCAAAUAGACUGUACGGAAAAGUAGGCAUGCUUGCAGUUCAAGUAAAAGCUCAGUAGUAAGUAAAUACAACAUGACCAGUACAAAGUAUAAAGAUCAGGAAAUCUCUAAGUACUAAUGCACAAAUAGCAUGAUCAAUGUUCCAUAUACCUCUACUCACAAGUGCUAAACCACUCGGUACUAUAUAUUGCCACCCGACCCAGGGAAGAUCCAUCCUGGAAUAUAUGUACACCACUGACCGCAGUCAUCUAAUAUCGAGGAAGGUUAUUCUAGCCUUGUGUAGAAGAUCCAUCUCCAGGUAUUGAUACUUUGGACAAGAUCCAUGUCCAGGGAAGAUCCAGUCCUUAAUAUCAUCAACUGCGCUCACUGGGGGUGUAAAGACUCUGGAGGGGCUUCUCUUAGCCCAAGCGCUAUGUCCAGCCAACGAAGGCAUGAUCAAUAUCUCGCUGUGACGUGCAGCCCGAUCCCAUACUGUCACUCAAUAUCAGGCUCUCAGCCUCACUCAGUUAUUACUCUCCAGUCUCACACACACGGGCUCAAAAAUGUCAUGAUACUAGCCUUGACAAUGAUAUGAUGUGUCAAAUAGCAAUAACCGAGACUGAGGCAUGAUAAAAUAUGCAUAAAUAGGACUGAGUACAGAAUAUCAUUGAAGCUAAUGACAUGAUAGAAAUAAACGACCUUUCGGGUCUCAGCAGUAUUUGCGUGAAGCCCUAACAUGAUAAUUAGCAUGAUUUGCAGUUCCAUAACUUAAUCACAUAAUUACAACACAGACAUCAGCUAGAAAGAGUUGCUAAGCGGUGCCAUGGGAUGACCCAGGCUACAAUUCUCACAGUGCAUGCCCACACGCCCAUCACUUGGCAUUUGCGUCACCUCAAUAAAAAUCAUAGAACACGUAGUUCGGGGUUUCGAACCCUCAGAACCAAGUUUGGAAGUGUUAUUUACUUCAAGCCAAGCCAAACUCUAACUCGCGACGCCCUUGCCUCUCGAUUUGGCCUCCAAAUUCCCCGAAUCUAACCAAAAUCAAAACUAUAACAUCAAAAUAUGCUAAAGGAAGAAAGCCCACGUGAAAAUAAUCAAAUCACAUCAAAAAUCCCGAAAUUAGUCAAACCCGACCACUGGGCCCACAUCUCGGAUUCCGAUAAAAAUCACAAAACUAGAAUCCUUACACUCUCACGAGUUCAUACAUACCAAAUACAUCAAAAUCCGACCGCAAACGACCCCUCAAAUCCUCAAAUCAAAGUCUCCAAUUUCAAGCCCUAAUUCCCCAAUUUUAGGCUUUAAAUUCCACUAAUUUCAUGUCUAAUUGGGUAGAAAUCAUCAUAAAAUCAAGUGUUGAGUUCAAAAAUCUUACCUCCAAGUGUUUCCCUUCAAUUCCCUCUUCAAUCCCUCUAAAAAUCUACAAAUCCGGCCAAUAAUGGUGAGAAAUAGCCUAAAAUUUGUGAAGAUGGCUAUUUAAACAUUCUGCCCAGGUAUAUUUUCUUCUUCGCAAACGCGGUCAAGGCCUCGGGUUUGAGAAACACAAAAAUCACUGACCAAUUAAAUCCUCUUUUGCGAACGCAAAACCCUCCUCGCGAACGCGAUGCUUCAACCGUCCAAGCCUUCGUGAAUGCGACUAUACCUACCCGAAUGCGAAACACAAAGCUCCUGGGGUCCCAGCUUCCCUAAUUACUCUACACGAACGCAGGACCUGCUUCGCGAAUGCGAAGAACAAUUCCCUUGCCUUACUCCACAUCUGUUCGGGAACACGAGAGCCCUAUCGCGAACGCAAAGAACAAAACUCUGCAACAGAAAUAGCAGGAAAUCUGCAACUCUCCACAACCACAAAUUGGUCUGUUAACCACCCGAAACACACCCGAGGCCCUCGGGACCUCAACCAAACAUGCCAACACAUCCAAUAACAUUAUUCAAACUUGUUCCAACCUUCGGAACGCUCAAAACAACAUCAAAAUAUCAAAUCACCCUCAGAUUCAAGCCUAAGGAUUCCAAAACUUUCGAAUUUUGAAUUCGAUCAAAAGGUCUAUCAAACCUCGCUUGAAUGACCUGAAAUUUUGCACACACUUCCGAAAUGACACAACUGACCUACUCCAACUUCCGGAACUCCAUUCCGACCCCGAUAUCAAAAUUUGCACUACCAACCGGAAAGCGCUAAAACUCCAAUUUUGCCAAUUCAAGCCUAAAUCUACCAUGGACGUCCAAAUUACAUUCCGAACACGCUCCUAAGUCAAAAAUCACCUAACGAAGCUAUCUAAAUCAUAAAAACCAAAUUCCAAGAUCGUUUACUCACAAGUCAACUUUCGGUUGACUUUUCUAACUAAAUGACCAACUUAAGAGACUGUGUGUCUCAUAACACUCCAAAACUAUUCCAAACCCGAACCAACCAACGCAAUACAAUGAAAUGUAGCUGAAUAACACAUAAGGAAGCAUAAAUGGGGGAAACAGAGUAGUAACUCAUGAAAAGACCGGCCGGGUCGUUACAUUUGACCCACAUCCAACAAGAGGUUCAAGAGCCACAACCAAUACAACAUAAUUGGGGUUAAUCAUACAAGGGAGUAUGAUCGCUAUGAUCCUUUCAUAAUUGCACAUAAUGUUAGGCAAGUGUAUUAUGCUCCUUAUCCAUUGCGGCGGAAUAAUUCCGAUUGGUGGGUUGUAAUAAAAACUAAGACUGUAGGUAUGGUGGAAGUCGAGAAUGUGUUAGAUAUUGCAUAUCAAAACGAUAUCUCCAGUGUUUACCAAAUAGUAGACGAUCAGUUAAAAAAUGAUUUGGAACAUCCUGAACGCAUAUUGGAAGAAGUUGAUAUAAAUGAAGUAAUAAUUAUAGAAAAUGAGGACGAAAAAUCAACUGAUGAAGCUCAAACAAGUGAGGACGAAGAAUUGUNNNNNNNNNNNNNNNNNNUCAACCUAAAUAUGUAUUAUAUUAUGCAGAUGGAGGGCAAUGGUCAAGGUAAAAAUGACCCUACUGGUUCUCGGGGUCGAGAAAAGGUAGGGAAGGGAAAGAGGAGGUAGAUAAUAAUACUCCCUCUUUUCCACCCUCUACAGAGAUACAUAUGUCUUAUCCUCCACCCCACGACUAUACGGAGCUGCCACAUCAUCACGAGCCCUACACUUUAAUCCAUAUACCAGGUCUUUCAUCACAGGGCCAUAGAACUAUACGUCCGACAUACAGUCCAGCUGCCUCAUGACCACAUGGAUCGCAGCCAUCUAUAUCACAUCCCUACAUAUCACAGCCACAUGGAUCGUAUCCAUCCAUGUCACAACCACUCGGGUCAUAGCCAUCAGUAUCACAACCACUUAGGGUCCAUCCAGAUAUGUCGCAGUCACAGGGAUCACAUCCAUCUUCAUCAAUGACUCCAUCUAUUUCAGGCCUUCAUCUGCAAUGUAGUAGCUCUGACCACCUACACCGUCCACACAUGCCUCUGAUACACAUGCUUCGGACAAUGAUGAUGAUGGUGACGAAGAAGUGCAUUAUGAUCAAUAUCGCAGGAUCAUCAUAGUCCCUGAGGGUGAUGGGUAAGAGUUAUUUGUUAUUUUUGUGUUUAUUGUAUUGUAACGAUUUUACUAAGAUAUUAAUGUGUUUUUAUUGUUAAAUUGCAGGUUCAUCCCAAGUAAUAAGACUACGAGGAUAAUCACCAAAGCCAUCAGAAAGGUUUAUGAUGACUGUCACACCUCCUUUUUACUAUCCCCGGAAGGGUAUAAGGGAGUUGUUUUUCAAUUUAAGUGACAAUCGAAACAGGAUUAUUAUUUUAAUAUCAGAGUUGCCACUUGGGAUAAUUUAUGGUGUCCCAAGUCACUGGUUAAAAUUCUGAUUCGAGGAAGGUUGACUCUAGUUACGGUCUACGAACAUAGAAAUCCGGGUAAGGAAUUCUGUUAACCCGGGAGAAGGUGUUUGGUAUUCCCGAGUUUCGUGGUUCUAGCACGGUCGCUUUGAUGGCUUAUUAAAUUAUCUAAUUACUCAUUUUAUAACCUAUGUGCAUUUACCUCUUUUAAUUAAGAAAUUAUCUUGAAACGGGUCACGCGUACGUGUACCCAUUUGUUUGGCACAUCAAAAAUCAUGUCACGCGAACGUGUCUACAAUUGAUAACGCUUUAUUGUUAUUAAGAAAGUUUGGCCGAAGUUGCGCAAACGCAUACUCUGGUUUUGUUUUUAGGAUCGUAAUUGUAUCACGCGAACGUGUCCACAAUCAUAAUGAUAUAUUAAACGGGCCUAGAGUAACUACGAGCAUUUGUCAUUUUUAUAUCUAAGUCAUAAGAUUAAUACAAGGGCCAUGAAUAUUAAAUUGUGGAUGGCACACCUUGGACUAUACUAACUAAAUUUAAUUAGCGGCCUAUUAGCAACCAUUUUAUUAUUGAGAAAGUUUGUUCGAAGUUACGCGAACGCAUACUCCGAAUUGGUUUUUAGAAUAGUAAUCAUGUCAUGCGUACACAAUCACAAUUAUAGAUUUAUUAAAAGCGUGUCUGAAGCUACCAAUAUGACUCAUUCUCUAUGAGUUAAAUUAGAUCUAAACACGUUAAAUAUAUGAACAGUACAAUAUAUAGGAUAGAGGCAACAAUAAAUAAAAAUGAAACUAGUAUACCAUUAACCUGCUUUCAACUAGAAAACAAAAACAAACAAAACAACAUAUACUAACAAACAUAUAAAGAAUAAAACUACCAGUAAUUAUAUAUAAUAGUAAAUAGUAGUAACGUAAAAAAACAAUCUUCAGUAGAACACAGAUUCAAGCACAAAAAUAUUAAUAAUCACAUUUACCAUUUUAUGAUUGUUGAAGAAACAGAAAAAUUAAAAAGGAGAGUCAAAAGCGUGGACCUUUGCGUCAAGAUUAUAAUAUCGUCCAAAAUCAAUGGCUUAAUCUCGCCGGUGACGGUACCUUGAUCGAACCUCGAACAAGAGCGACGACUACGACGAAACUUGACUCAAUUAAACCUUAUUAUUUUUGAAUCCAGAUCUGUUCGUUCCCUCUCUAUCUAUCCUAAGUUAUGCCCUGUUUUUGUCUUCUCAAACCAAAUUGCCCAUAGUGAGUUUUCAGCAAAACAAAAGAAAACGAUGAACGACAAGGAACAGAGCUGCCGGAAAAUCUAAAACCAAUCGCUGACUUCCAUAUUUCGGCAUGCUAAAGCUGGCGAAAGUGAAAAUGAAAGUAGGGUGACGCACGACAACAACUAAGAAUAGGAGAGAGAGAAACGAAGGGGAAAGAGGAAGGAACAAGGGUGUGACGAGGUGAGAAUCACUGCUAUAUUCUUUAGGGCUCGUCCAUUUUUGUUCAAGGAAGAUGAAGAAGCUUCAAUUGUAGCUAGUUGAAUAAGAAGAUCAAAGAAAUGGUUGUUCUAUGUUCUCCAGGCUGCUGAUGGCUUCCGGUCUUUUGGUUGAGGAAGAUGACUUAGGAGGGGGGUGUCUUUUGUAUUAUGUCCUGUGGCUGAUUGCUUCUCUCAUUUUUUCAUGUUUUUUCGCUGAUCCCUUAGGUCUGUCGCUGAUCUCUUAAGUCUCUUAGGUGUUAUUCAUUUUGUUAAAGAAAAAGGAGCAUCUCAGGAGGUUCUUUUUUUGGAGAUCUGCUGCUGCUUCUUCAGAUUUUCCUUUUUUGUAUAUAUCCGUCCAAAUCUUGAAGAAGAACGGCGGAUCGCUCCUAAAGUCUAGGUCUUAGAGUCCCCUUUAUAUUAAAGUCUAGGUUAGUUUUUGUAGGGUUUUUUAGGUUAAGGGGUAUGAGCCUAUGAAUUAUGGGCUUGAGAAUUAUGGCCUAGGUCCGAAAAUUAGGCCGAAAAUGGGUCGUUUGAGCCCAAAUUUUAUUCUUUCCUCGCGAAGAAGACUAAAAAUACGAUCUCAUUUAUUAAUUAA
rnacentral:lncRNA from 1 species